rnacentral:rRNA from 1 species
UAGAAGUGAGAAUGCCGGUAUGAGUAGCGAAAGAGGGGGGAGAAUCCCCUCCACCGAAUGCCUAAGGUUUCCUGAGGAAGGCUCGUCCGCUCAGGGUUAGUCGGGACCUAAGCCGAGGCCGAAAGGCGUAGGCGAUGGACAACAGGUUGAUAUUCCUGUACCACCUCCUCACCAUUUGAGCAAUGGGGGGACGCAGGAGGAUAGGGUAAGCGCGGUAUUGGAUAUCCGCGUCCAAGCAGUUAGGCUGGGAAAUAGGCAAAUCCGUUUCCCAUAAGGCUGAGCUGUGAUGGCGAGCGAAAUUUAGUAGCGAAGUUCCUGAUUCCACACUGCCAAGAAAAGCCUCUAGCGAGGUGAGAGGUGCCCGUACCGCAAACCGACACAGGUAGGCGAGGAGAGAAUCCUAAGGUGAUCGAGAGAACUCUCGUUAAGGAACUCGGCAAAAUGACCCCGUAACUUCGGGAGAAGGGGUGCUCUGUUAGGGUGCAAGCCCGAGAGAGCCGCAGUGAAUAGGCCCAGGCGACUGUUUAGCAAAAACACAGGUCUCUGCGAAGCCGUAAGGCGAAGUAUAGGGGCUGACGCCUGCCCGGUGCUGGAAGGUUAAGAGGAGCGCUUAGCGUAAGCGAAGGUGCGAAUUGAAGCCCCAGUAAACGGCGGCCGUAACUAUAACGGUCCUAAGGUAGCGAAAUUCCUUGUCGGGUAAGUUCCGACCCGCACGAAAGGCGCAACGAUCUGGGCACUGUCUCAACGAGAGACUCGGUGAAAUUAUAGUACCUGUGAAGAUGCAGGUUACCCGCGACAGGACGGAAAGACCCCGUGGAGCUUUACUGCAGCCUGAUAUUGAAUGUUGGUACAGCUUGUACAGGAUAGGUAGGAGCCUUGGAAACCGGAGCGCCAGCUUCGGUGGAGGCAUCGGUGGGAUACUACCCUGGCUGUAUUGACCUUCUAACCCGCCGCCCUUAUCGGGCGGGGAGACAGUGUCAGGUGGGCAGUUUGACUGGGGCGGUCGCCUCCUAAAAGGUAACGGAGGCGCCCAAAGGUUCCCUCAGAAUGGUUGGAAAUCAUUCGCAGAGUGUAAAGGCACAAGGGAGCUUGACUGCGACCCCUACAAGUCGAGCAGGGACGAAAGUCGGGCUU